GGGGCUCGAGGAGCUAGGGGUGCAAAAGGACCCACUGGGAAAUCAGGAGACAAGGGGUCUUCAGGACAUGAUGGCCCCCCAGGGUCCACAGGAGAGAGAGGUCCACAAGGGCCUCAGGGACGUGUAGGUGAGGUGGGGC